UGGCUUAAAGUGGGUAGUGCGCCUGCCUUGUAAGCACUAGGUUGCGGGUUCGAUUCCCGC
rnacentral:tRNA from 1 species